rnacentral:rRNA from 1 species
AACGAACGCUGGCGGCAUGCCUAACACAUGCAAGUCGAACGAGAUCUUCGGGUCUAGUGGCGCACGGGUGCGUAACGCGUGGGAAUCUGCCCUUUGGUUCGGAAUAACAGUUGGAAACGACUGCUAAUACCGGAUGAUGACGAAAGUCCAAAGAUUUAUCGCCAGAGGAUGAGCCCGCGUAGGAUUAGCUAGUUGGUGUGGUAAAGGCGCACCAAGGCGACGACCCUUAGCUGGUCUGAGAGGAUGAUCAGCCACACUGGGACUGAGACACGGCCCAGACUCCUACGGGAGGCAGCAGUGGGGAAUAUUGGACAAUGGGCGAAAGCCUGAUCCGGCAAUGCCGCGUGAGUGAUGAAGGCCUUAGGGUUGUAAAGCUCUUUUACCCGGGAUGAAAAUGACAGUACCGGGAGAAUAAGCUCCGGCUAACUCCGUGCCAGCAGCCGCGGUAA